CCUGGGGAACAUAACAAGCAAGUCAGAGAUGCCCCUGAUGCUGAUGGAGUUCAGAAUCACGGGAAGAUUUAAGCAAGUCCAUGGCAGCAUUGUAGAGCGAAGAGACGGACCACCUAAAAUGCCUACAAUGGAUUUACCAUGCUCUUAGCCCAGCUGAUGCAGGGGCUGGCAGCAGCCCUCACUGAGCUUCAUGAGGAGUUCUACAUCCUGGGACCACAAUCAGAUGCCUGCAGAUGUAAUGAAGGUAAGUGGGCAUCCCCAAGACACAGAGGUAGAUGAGACUUAGAUUUUCUCCCUAGGAAAAGGGGCGAGCAUAACCUUUGUCAAAAGAAAGAUAAUUGGUGAUCAAAAAGUUAGAGGAAACUGGUUGCUCAGUAACCUACUUCCUUUUUUAAUUUUAAUUUUUAAGUUUCAUUUUGCAUUCCUUCCACAGUUUUGCCCCCUAGCCCUUCCUCCCAACCCCUUCCCCCAUCUACUCCACCAUCCACUUCUCCCAACAGGUAAGGGUUCCCAUAAAGUCUGGCACAUGAUGUUGGGGCAGGAGCAAGCCUCUCCCCCUGCAUUGAGGCUGAGCAUGGCAUCCCACCAUAGGGAAAGGGCUCAAGCACCAGGGAUAGAUCCUGGUCCUACAGUCAGGCUUCCUCUUCUUUAGCACCAAGCAUGUUUUCUUUGCCACACAGUUUCCACAUUGUCUGUGCAGUUAGUUCUCAUGGGUGACAUGUGAGUGACAAUGGGACAUUUCUUCCACUACAAGUCUUGUUACAGUGAAUGCAUUCUUUGGGAUCAGUGCCUCCAUCUCUGCCUGCUGUCUGAGUGACAUCAGGGCAACAUAGAAGUCACCCACUGAGAGUGCUGACUGCUCAGGAGGAGGUUAACCUGGGUUCUACUCUGGAAUGGAACAUGAUCAAGAAGGAAACUCACUGUCUGCAGCCACAGAGUUGCCAAAAAGCUUGUAAGAAUAACGAUGAAGCAACACUGAGCAUGGUAGAGUCACGCCCCGUCUAAGUUUCAUCCAUCGUUGUAUUGAUUUCAUCCUCCAAUCUCGAAUGGGAGGUAAGUGCUAUAGAAAGAGAUGUGUGUCCACUCCACAUGGGA